rnacentral:lncRNA from 1 species
UGUUAUUGGGUGCUCCCAUUUUGUAUGUAUAGUAAUCAUUGCCUUCUUUUCAUCCAUAUCCUUACCAUUGAGGCUUUUUCCUACAAGAUUCAAUUAGAUUCACUGUUAAUUUUGCAGGAAACUGAGAUCGAUUUGAUUUGAGUGCAAUGGCUUACCGUAUUCCGAAAAGAGGAGAGAAUCGGAUCAAAAUUCAGAUUCUAAAGGACUGGGGAGAGGCACUAGCUUCUUUGAGUCCGGAAGCAGCUCGAUUGCUCUGUGGGAUCAGUGAACCGCGGCCGCCGCCGCCGCCGCCACCAGUGAUGAAUCUGCCGCCGCCAUCACUUCCCCAAUUAACCGCAUAAAUAUUCUGUUUGUAUGUAUGUAGUUCUGGAUUACGGUUUAAACUGUUAUCGGCAUGUAUUUUGUGUACAAUAAAUCUAGAACCAGUAUGUUGGGUUGUGUACUACUAGUGCAAAUUGUGUACUCUCUGCUGUUGGUUCGGAAGAAGGGAUCGAAUUCAUGGAGGCGUGAUAGAAAAAGGCAAAAAGUUACUGCAUAAAUCAUAUUACUUGUGAAUCUGGCCACUGGAAAUCGGAAAAUUUUGACUCGGCCAGUAGAGGGAAGAAAACCGAGUAUCGACUUGGACUCGGUGGCCUUUACGUCUGCUUUAUUUCCACGCAAGUAAUUGUCACGUGUAUAUUCGUGUGUAAUAUAUUUAUAAAGGCAACUCUAAUAGUACUUUCGAGUUGUACAAUUAAUUAAUUUUUUCUUAAACAU